CAGCCGUAAACUAUGCGCGUUAGGUGUACUGGUGACCACAAGUCACCGGGGUACCGAAGGGAAACCGUGAAACGUGCCGCCUGGGAAGUACGGUCACAAGGCUGAAACUUAAAGGAAUUGGCGGGGGAGCACCACAACAAGUGGAGCCUGCGGUUUAAUUGGACUCAACGCCGGGAAGCUCACCGGAUAGGACAGCAGAAUGAUUGCCGGGCUGAAGACCCUGCAUGACUAGCUGAGAGGUGGUGCAUGGCGUCAGUGACU
rnacentral:rRNA from 1 species